AACACGUAGCUAACCUACCCUUGGGACGGGAAUAACCCCGGGAAACUGAGGUUAAUACCCGAUAGGUGUGGAUUCCUGGAAUGGUUCCACGCCCAAAUGUAAGCGCAUCCAUGUUUGCGUGCACGCCCGAGGAUGGGGCUGCGGCCGAUCAGGCAGUUGGUGAGGUAACGGCUCACCAAACCUUUGACCGGUACGGGCCAUGAGAGUGGUAGCCCGGAGAUGGGCACUGAGACAAGGGCCCAGGCCCUACGGGGCGCAGCAGGCGCGAAACCUCCACAAUUCACGAAAGUGAGAUGGGGUUACCUCGAGUGCCGCCUGAAGAAGGCGGCUUUUCCAUUGUGUAAUGAGCCGUGGGAAUAAGGGGGGGGCAAGACUGGUGUCAGCCGCCGCGGUAACACCAGCCCCCCGAGUGGUGGGGAUGAUUAUUUGGCCUAAAGCGUCCGUAGCCGGCUCUGUAAAUCUCUCGUUAAAUCCAGCGUCCUAAGCGUUGGGCUGCGAGAGAGACUGCAGAGCUAGAGGGUGGGAGAGGUCAGCGGUAUUCCUGGGGUAGGGGCGAAAUCCAUUGAUCCCAGGAGGACCACCAGUGGCGAAGGCUGCUGACUAGAACACGCCUGACGGUGAGGGACGAAAGCUGGGGUAGCGAAUCGGAUUAGAUACCCGAGUAGUCCCAGCCGUAAACGAUGCAGGCUAGGUGUUGGGUUGGCCACGCGCCAGCUCAGUGCCACAGGGAAGCCAUUAAGCCUGCCGCCUGGGGAGUACGGCCGCAAGGCUGAAACUUAAAGGAAUUGGCGGGGGGAGCACCACCAGGCGUGAAGCCUGCGGUUUAAUUGGAGUCAACGCCCGGAAAAGGGCGAAAUUCUG
rnacentral:rRNA from 1 species